rnacentral:rRNA from 1 species
UGGGGAAUAUUGCGCAAUGGGGGAAACCCUGACGCAGCAACGCCGCGUGAAGGAAGAAGGCCUUCGGGUUGUAAACUUCUUUGAUCAGGGACGAACAAAUGACGGUACCUGAAAAACAAGCCACGGCUAACUACGUGCCAGCAGCCGCGGUAAUACGUAGGUGGCGAGCGUUGUCCGGAAUUACUGGGUGUAAAGGGCGUGUAGGCGGGUCCGUAAGUCAGAUGUGAAAUACCGAGGCUUAACCUCGGGGCUGCAUCUGAAACUACUGAUCUUGAGUGCUGGAGAGGAAAGCGGUAUUCCUAGUGUAGCGGUGAAAUGCGUAGAUAUUAGGAGGAACACCAGUGGCGAAGGCGGCUUUCUGGACAGUAACUGACGCUGAGGCGCGAAAGCGUGGGGAGCAAACAGG